CGCGCCGACCCAGCGCGCGGACCCAGCGCCGCUGCGCGGGCGGGCCGGGGGCGGCAGGGCCAGGAGUGUAUUGUAACUAUCCAGUCCUUCUUCAGCUGCUUUCCCUUGGGUGGGCCUGAAUGAAGACAAAUGUAAAGAUGGCAUGUCCAAGGAAUUUUAAAAGGUGUAGACCUCCUGACUGAGCAGUGCUGUGUUUUUUAUUCUCUU